rnacentral:rRNA from 1 species
GGCGAACGCUGGCGGCGUGCUUAACACAUGCAAGUCGAGCGGUAAGGCCCUUUCGGGGGUACACGAGCGGCGAACGGGUGAGUAACACGUGGGUGACCUGCCCUCAGCUCUGGGAUAAGCCUGGGAAACCGGGUCUAAUACCGGAUAUGACUCCAUGACGCAUGUUGUGGGGUGGAAAGCCUUGUGCGGCUGAGGAUGGGCCCGCGGCCUAUCAGCUUGUUGGUGGGGGNGAUGG